CCUACGGGAGGCAGCAGUGAGGAAUAUUGGUCAAUGGGCGCGAGCCUGAACCAGCCAAGUAGCGUGAAGGAGGAAUGCACUGCGUGUUGUAAACUUCUUUUAUCAAGGAAUAAAGUGAGGCACGUGUGCCUUUUUGUAUGUACUUUAUGAAUAAGCAUCGGCUAACUCCGUGCCAGCAGCCGCGGUAAUACGGAGGAUCCGAGCGUUAUCCGGAUUUAUUGGGUUUAAAGGGUGCGUAGAUGGGUUGUUAAGUCAGUUGUGAAAGUCUGGGGCUCAACCGUAAAAUUGCAUUUGAUACUGGCAGCCUUGAGUACAGUUGAGGUAGGCGGAAUUCGUGGUGUAGCGGUGAAAUGCUUAGAUAUCACGAAGAACUCCGAUUGCGAAGGCAGCCUACUAACCUGACACUGACAUUGAUGCUCGAAAGUGUGGGUAUCAAACAGGAUUAGAUACCCGAGUAGUC
rnacentral:rRNA from 1 species